ACUCCCAUUUGACUACCACAUUUUCUCCCAAUAAUAGAUUUUGGUGGCUAUGCUUGUGGGAUAAAUUAAAAUUGCCAUGAUCUGAAGAGGGAGGACCCUUUUGUGUUCUCCUCCUAUAUGAAAUGGCUGAACAGAAAAUU
rnacentral:snoRNA from 1 species